rnacentral:rRNA from 1 species
UACGUAGGGUGCAAGCGUUAUCCGGAAUUAUUGGGCGUAAAGAGCUCGUAGGCGGUUUGUCGCGUCUGCCGUGAAAGUCCGGGGCUUAACCCCGGAUCUGCGGUGGGUACGGGCAGACUAGAGUGCAGUAGGGGAGACUGGAAUUCCUGGUGUAGCGGUGAAAUGCGCAGAUAUCAGGAGGAACACCGAUGGCGAAGGCAGGUCUCUGGGCUGUAACUGACGCUGAGGAGCGAAAGCGUGGGGAGCAAACAGG